rnacentral:rRNA from 1 species
CAGUCGCCGCGGGAAUACGUAGGGGGCAAGCGUUAAUCGGAAUUACUGGGCGUAAAGCGUGCGCAGGCGGUGUUGUAAGACUGAUGUGAAAUCCCCGGGCUCAACCUGGGAACUGCAUUGGUGACUGCAAGGCUGGAGUGUGGCAGAGGGGGAUGGAAUUCCGCGUGUAGAAGUGAAAUGCGUAGAUAUUCGGAGGAACACCGAUGGCGAAGGCAAUCCACUGGACCUGCACUGACGCUCAUGCACGAAAGCGUGGGGAGCAAACAGGAUUAGAUACCCCCGUAGUCCCUGUCUCUUAUAC